ACUCCUACGGGAGGCAGCAGUGGGGAAUAUUGGACAAUGGGGGAAACCCUGAUCCAGCAAUGCCGCGUGUGUGAAGAAGGCCUGAGGGUUGUAAAGCACUUUCAACUGUGAGGAUUGGGAUUUUGGUUAAUACCCCGAGAUCCUUGACGUUAGCAGUAGAAGAAGCACCGGCUAACUCCGUGCCAGCAGCCGCGGUAAUACGGAGGGUGCGAGCGUUAAUCGGAAUUACUGGGCGUAAAGCGCAUGCAGGUGGUUUGUUAAGUCAGAUGUGAAAGCCCGGGGCUCAACCUCGGAAUUGCAUUUGAAACUGGCAAACUAGAGUACUGUAGAGGGGGUGGGAAUUGAUCGAGGGUGUAGGCGGUGAAAAUGCAGUAGAGAUCUGAAGGAAUACCGGUGGCGAAGGCGGCCCCUGGCACAGAUACUGACACUCAGAUGCGAAAAGCGUGGGGGAGCAAAACAGGAUUAGAUA
rnacentral:rRNA from 1 species